rnacentral:rRNA from 1 species
GACGAACGCUGGCGGCGUGCUUAACACAUGCAAGUCGAACGGAAAGGCCCUGCUUUUGUGGGGUGCUCGAGUGGCGAACGGGUGAGUAACACGUGAGUAACCUGCCCUUGACUUUGAGAUAACUUCAGGAAACUGGGGCUAAUACCGGAUAGGAGCUCCUGCUGCAUGGUGGGGGUUGGAAAGUUUCGGCGGUUGGGGAUGGACUCGCGGCUUAUCAGCUUGUUGGGGGGUAGUGGCUUACCAAGGCUUUGACGGGUAGCCGGCCUGAGAGGGUGACCGGCCACAUUGGGACUGAGAUACGGCCCAGACUCCUACGGGAGGCAGCAGUGGGGAAUAUUGCACAAUGGGCGGAAGCCUGAUGCAGCAACGCCGCGUGCGGGAUGACGGCCUUCGGGUUGUAAACCGCUUUCGCCUGUGACGAAGCGUGAGUGACGGUAAUGGGUAAAGAAGCACCGGCUAACUACGUG